AUGUGUCAUUUAAAAACUACAGCUGUAAUGGUUCAGUUUAAGUGUAAAGACAGGUUGAUUUGGUUAUAUGUCAACCUUUAAGCGCCCUCUUGUGGCGAGGAUUGUGUAUGGUAACUUCCGUAUGACUUGUGUAUGACUUGCGUCGAGUUGAGUUCAUUGUAAUGUGUCAUGGCUGAAGAGCUGCUUGUACGGUGAAGUUGUGGCUCGCAUAAGGCUCAGCAUGUCUCAGCCUUGCCCUCUUCUCUUCAGCUGUCUGUUUUUUGAGAUCCUGAGCACUACUGGAUCCUUUGCAGCCACAGUUGAGUCUCUUUUCAAGCAGACUCUGCUGCUGCUGGUGUUUGUUAGUGGUUCCUGCUGAACGGAUGUUCUUGCAGAGUGUGCGAUCCACCUCCCCAUAUUUGACAUCAUCUCGUCUGAAGAACUCGACUGCCGUCUUCUCCCCGGAUUGGAGGGUGUACUUCACGGAGGAGGAGGUCGGGUCUGGGGAGGAUCCUGAGCAGUGGGCGAGGGUUCAGAGGUCACUGGAGGGUCAGAGGUCAGCAGGACAGGACAGCGUGCCAGAGGGAAUGCUGAAUUCUCCAGAUCAGCUAGAAGAGCAUCUUCA